CUAUGUUAAAUCGGGGUGUUAGCGGUACUCUGUAACCUACAAUCCGCUAUAGUAGGGAUGAAAACUUGUGUUGAGGGGCAGGAGUUGUCUUGUCGGUCUCAAUUUUGGUGAACGUUGACGAUUCGGUCCUGCGCAAUUGAAACCUGUGAACCGUGUCAGGGCAGGAAUGCAGCAGCACUAAGCAGUUCUUUUUGAUGUGCCGCAGGGUCGCCGGGUUUGAGUUUACCGGUUGAGCAGCGGAGGUUUUCCUGUUUCGAACUCAAGCACAUAG
rnacentral:SRP_RNA from 1 species